rnacentral:rRNA from 1 species
AUUGAACGCUGGCGGCAUGCCUUGCACAUGCAAGUCGAACGGUAACAGGUCUUCGGAUGCUGACGAGUGGCGAACGGGUGAGUAAUACAUCGGAACGUGCCUAGUAGUGGGGGAUAACUACUCGAAAGAGUGGCUAAUACCGCAUGAGAUCUACGGAUGAAAGCAGGGGAUCGCAAGAACUUGUGCUACUAGAGCGGCCGAUGGCAGAUUAGGUAGUUGGUGGGAUAAAAGCUUACCAAGCCGACGAUCUGUAGCCGGUCUGAGAGGACGAUCAGCCACACUGGGACUGAGACACGGCCCAGACUCCUACGGGAGGCAGCAGUGGGGAAUUUUGGACAAUGGGCGAAAGCCUGAUCCAGCAAUGCCGCGUGCAGGAUGAAGGCCUUCGGGUUGUAAACUGCUUUUGUACGGAACGAAAAGCCCCGGGUUAAUACCCUGGGGUCAUGACGGUACCGUAAGAAUAAGCACCGGCUAACUACGUGCCAGCCGCCGCAGUAA